rnacentral:rRNA from 1 species
GAUGAACGCUGGCGGCGUGCCUAAUACAUGCAAGUCGAGCGAACGGACGAGAAGCUUGCUUCUCUGAUGUUAGCGGCGGACGGGUGAGUAACACGUGGAUAACCUACCUAUAAGACUGGGAUAACUUCGGGAAACCGGAGCUAAUACCGGAUAAUAUUUUGAACCGCAUGGUUCAAAAGUGAAAGACGGUCUUGCUGUCACUUAUAGAUGGAUCCGCGCUGCAUUAGCUAGUUGGUAAGGUAACGGCUUACCAAGGCAACGAUGCAUAGCCGACCUGAGAGGGUGAUCGGCCACACGGGAACUGAGACACGGUCCAGACUCCUACGGGAGGCAGGAGUAGGGAAUCUUCCGCAAUGGGCGAAAGCCUGACGGAGCAACGCCGCGUGAGUGAUGAAGGUCUUCGGAUCGUAAAACUCUGUUAUUAGGGAAGAACAUAUGUGUAAGUAACUGUGCACAUCUUGACGGUACCUAAUCAGAAAGCCACGGCUAACUACGU